rnacentral:tRNA from 1 species
GAUAAGGUGGCCGAGUGGUUAAGGCGAUGGACUGCUAAUCCAUUGUGCUCUGCACGCAUGGGUUCGAAUUCCAGCCUUGUCG